AUUGUGAGUAACUUAGUGCAUUUGUUGAGCUGGUUCUUGCAUUCAAGCGGCAUUCCGACUUGCGUUUUAAUCGUCAAGCACACCUCAUUUGUUGUAGACGAAGAUGCUGUCAAGUAUUGCAACUCGCGUGGAGCGUGGGAAAUGUGCCCCGGAUUGUGUUAAUUCGGUUCCAUUCGAUGAGGUUUAGAACCAUUAGAACCACAAGAUCAUUCCAAUGCUCAAUGUACUCGAUGCAAACAAAAGACUCACCAAUCACACUCUCCAAGUUUCACCUCUCCUUCACUCUCUAGCCGUUUGUCGUGGUGUAACUAGUGUGUCAGCAUAUGGUGGGUCGGAGGGCUGAAAGUUUUGCCCAAUGAUAAACAACUUCUAUCCUCGUAACAUACCAUGAAGGUAGUGCAGUGAUUGUGAAUAAAUUUGUGUCUUAUUGACAAUUGUUUUUAUAAAGCUCCUGUACUUGUGCGUUGGUUCUGGGAAUCAAGAGAGACUCGUCAAGAUUUUCUUCACUUCCAUCGUCUAUUGGGGAUAAGGGAAUGGGACUCGCUUCAAGUAAAAUGAAUCGGAUAUGAGUGGCUGCUUGUUUUGUUUUGGAAGUGGUGUUGUGUGUUUAGUGUUGCCUUUAUGCAUGGGGUGUUUCACAUUUAUUUUCAAUAGCGUGUCUUCUAGAAGUACAUCUUCUCCUACCUCUGACUUGAAACGUCUGCCAGCAGAGACAUCUUUCAGAGGCGGCUCUUCUCAAGAAUAAUUGUCAUCGGUGUUUUGGGUUGUUAAAAACUUCAAGCAAACAAGAAGGGAGUGUGGGUGGUGGUAUUGGUGGUAUCAUCUUGAUUUUGUUUCUUGUAAAUGGUGCUGAAGUUGUAUUUGUGCAUGGAAUAUUCUAGAGGGUUUUCUAGAAGCCUAUUGUCUGAAAGUACAUCUCCUCACACCUCCACCUUCAAUCGUUUGCCACCAGUACUUCUAAAAUGGGAUCCUCAAGGUCACUGGAAGAAUGUCUCUGUCUUACACACCUACGCCCCUCAAGUGAAGGAUUGAUUGGGCAAUGUUCGGAUGGCUUUUGUAUGGGUGUUACAUUACUGACAACCCGGAGGGACUUGUCAAGAAAAUCUUCAUUUCAUUUUCCAUCAAGCAAAUGGGAAUGGUCUCACCUCAAGCAGAAGGAAUGGGUUCUAAAGUAUGGUUUUGGGGGUGGUUCUGUGGUGUGUUCCGUGUUACUUUUGUGCACAAUUUAUUAUGGAGGGAUUCAGGAAGUCAAUCUUCAAGAACUGUGCUGCGCCCACAGGGCAAAUCGAAUCAAGAUGUCAUUUCCAACAAAGUUGUGAAACGGAAUCUGUGGUUUAGAGAGUGCUCAAGUCUAUCACUUUGAGAAUGCAAAACUAAUUGUUCAGCAGAUUGUGAACAAAAGAGAAAUUGUUUCAAAGAUCGAUCGAAGACAAUUGUCUUGUUGCCUUGGUGUGGAUGUGGAUGUCAAUGUCGACAAGAACAUCAAUACAAGAUUGGGAGUCCAGCUGUCAGCCAGGACAAGAGUAAUCCAGAGCAUUACACAUCAAUAUCUCAUCCCAAGAGCUGGAUCUAUAUCUGUCGGUGUGACAAGGUU